UGCCCCCAGAAAGCUACAGUCUGGACCAACCCCCAGGGCUUCCGUAGGAGGCAGCACAGCAGAUUGUGUGCUGAGCGAGUCGUCUACUUUUUUGCAGGAAUGCGAAUGCGUUUUACAGGUCCACUUAACAGAAUCAGUGCUUGAUGCAGACUCUGGAAAUAUGCGUAGAAAAGUAAACAUAAAAGAUAUGCUGCUUUACUAUUAUGUCCAGUUCCUGCUACGAAAGUUUGCAGCUCCUACUGCUGUCAUUACAGCCAGAUGUUUUAGAAAAGUUGAUGGGUUUGAUGAGUAACAUGAGAAAACAGAACUGAUUCUUCUGAUUUGGACCUAUUUAAUGUUGCCACCCAAGAAUCAGGUCCUGAUAUAAACUUUUUAGAUGUGUUUGUGUGUUGUUUUCAUGAAGUGAUCUGUAUGAAACAGCAGUUCUAAGGAGAAUGGAAAGACUAUCUGCUUCAGAGAAGUACAUCCUAGAAGGUCAGUGGUCAGUUAUCAAAAGCUAUAUUAAUGUAGAUGUAUGUUAAGCUCCCAAAUCAAGGUUCAGUUUUUAAACUGAGCUUUAAUUAAAUUUAACGUAUAGCAUAGUAAGAAACCCCUAGUUGUAC
rnacentral:lncRNA from 1 species